ACUAACCAAAAAUACCCAAGACCAUUAUAAAAUAACAAACCCUAGACCAUUCACAAUCGCCGUAUUUCAUUUGAUGAAACGGCCGAUUAUGUUUCAAAAACCUUUGAUCUUCUACCAAUCGCAGCAGUCAUAGACAAAUUAUGCUUGAAGGAGCUCAGAGAAGAAGCUAAUCUCAGAUGCGAGUUAUAUUAGCAUUGUUGUAGAUAUUUUUGUUUUGAUCUAACAAGUUGUUGGAGCUCUUUAUGUCACGAUGUAUGACAAUUUGUGGUUGAUAACAAGGGAUUAUGAAGGUAGUCUAGCCCACAGACAACACAAAUGAAUAUCUAGAGGUAUUAGUUCCGGUGUGUGACAUGUGUGUUCACAAAAUUGUGUUGUACAUGUCUCACGCUUGAAUCAAAUGACUCUAGAUAGUCGUUGGUGUUGUGUGUGGGUUGGCUUACCAUCAUAAUCCUUUGUUGUUAGGGCGGAUUGUCGUACAUUGUGACAUAAAUAGCUCUAACAUCAUGUUUGAGUUUUCUUUUGAAUUAUUGUAUUGUAAUAAAUUUUAUGAAUUAUUGUAUUGUAAUAAAUUUAUUUUUUAUAUAUAAUGUUAUAAA